AUCGCAGGGCAUCGAACCUGCGAUCAUGCUUCCGGUAUGACAUAAUUUACUCAUUUAGGUUGGAUAGUUGUUAUAAAGUUGAAAAUAAUUAGCACGACGGAGAAGUGGGAAAGAGGACGUCGACGGCGAGAAAUGCCGGAAUCAGCGUGCAUAUUUUGCGAUAUAGCUCGGUUGCCAAGCUCUACAAGCCUUCUUUACCAGGACGACAAGGUCGUCGCUUUCCAGGACAUCAAACCUGCCGCCUUCCGACAUUACUUGGUCAUCCCAAUUGAGCACAUCCCAACAGUGAAAAACCUUCAGAGAGGAUUAGAACACUAUUCUUUGGUGAGUCACAUGCUUAAUGUGGGUAAAACACUAUUGCAGCAAGAUUCCUCUCAUAAUGAGCAUAGAUUUGGUUUUCACCAACCUCCUUUUAACAGUGUUGACCAUCUUCACCUUCAUUGCCUCGCACUUCCUUAUAUGCCAAGCUGGAAAUUUAUUAAAUAUUCAUCAUUAGGGCCGCUUGGUGGAUUCAUUCUAGCAGAGAAGCUCUUGGAGAAACUUAAGCCUUGACAGUUUUCCCAAAUAUCGGUACCUUUAAUUACUGGGAAUUGAUGCUCAGCACUGUACUUAUGCACGUAUCAAAUUUCAAGGUUGUGUCAGCUGCAUGUGUUCUGAGGGUGAGGUGGUCGUUAGAGGUGUUUGUAGUUUCGUUCUUGUUCGUGCCUGUGGCUCUUUGUAAUCAAAAACUGUGUUUGAUGUUCACCAAAUGUUGUAAGAUCUUUUGCAUUUUCUUUUGCAGGCUUUUAUAGUAGCUUUGUCUGUUUCGAGAAGAAUAAUGAUUCAACUGAUCCAAGUGUUUCAGAUAUUCAAGCUUUCUAAGCAAAUAUACGGAGUUGAAGGCUUGUUUAUAGCAUUGAAAGGGAAAGGCUCUACUGAUGAUCAAAUCAGUCCGACAUGGCUGAGUUUGGGUGAUGGUAUGCAGCUUGAAUAUGUAGCUUAGCCUAGCCAGAUGCACCCCAUGUUCGUGCCAAUCAAUCGAGCUAGAAAAAUUCGACAUUGAGUCAUGCUUUAGCCAAUUAUUGGAGUGGGCUCUUGGUCAGGGUUUAAGAAUCUCUAAUGGGCUCCCGUCUUUUAUUUUAGUUUAGCUAAUAGAACAGAGGGAUUUGUAAUCUAAUAUAGUGAGAUGCCAAUAACAUGGAUGUAUAUUGGAUCAUCAUUUGUCAAUGGGUGUUCUUAAACCAGACUCUCACCCAAGUUUGUCCAUAUACUUUCCGGGUUUUAUCAGGUUUUAGUCUAAAUGGUUAUCUGGUUGAGAGUUUUGUGUUCAAAAUCCAAUAUUUCAGGAAGGGCUGUUACCUCCAUACUCGCGAUAUAAGUUGAGACUUUUUUAGCUGUU